UAUCUCUGUAGAGUCUGCAUAUCAAUAAGCGGAGGAAAAGAAACUAACUAGGAUUCCCCUAGUAACGGCGAGUGAAGCGGGAAGAGCUCAAAUUUGAAAUCUUAAAGGUUUUCCCUUGACGAAUUGUAGUUUAAAGAAGUGUUUUCUGUUGGAGUUUUGGUAAAAGUUCUUUGGAAUAGGACAUCAUAGAGGGUGAGAAUCCCGUAUUUGACCUUUACUUUCAACUUUGUGAUACACUUUCAAAGAGUCGGAUUGUUUGGGAAUGCAGUCCAAAAUGGGUGGUAAAUUUCAUCUAAAGCUAAAUACUUGGCGAGAGACCGAUAGCGAACAAGUACCGUGAGGGAAAGAUGAAAAGAACUUUGAAAAGAGAGUUAAACAGUACGUGAAAUUGUCAAAAGGGAAGCGUUUGACACCAGUGUUGUUUUUCUGAAAAUCAAUUAAAGAACUGUUUAUGCUAAGCUGUUUAGACUUUAUCAGCUAUCUGUUUAGUUUUGAGCUUUUCUUUAAUGCACUUUUCAGUUAACAAGUCAACAUCAAUUUCUUUUGCUGUAAAAAAGCUUGAGGAAGGUGGCUUGAGAUUCGUCUUAAGUGUUUAUAGCCUCUUGCCUAUGCAGUCGGAGAGAUUGAGGUCUGCAGCGUAGAUCCUUCGGGGCUAAAUGCAUUUGUGCUAAGUUAUAGCAUUUUAUAGACAACUUGUUGACUAUGAUUUGUCUUGUAGCUUACUCGCUUAUGUUAUUUUACCUACGCUUAGGAUGUUGACGAUCAGCUGAGCGCG
rnacentral:rRNA from 1 species